ACAAGAAAUCGGGGUUAUUCCGGCGAUUUAAUAAUCGCCGCAAAAUAUUUCGUUGGCAAAAGUAUGUUUUGCCGGCGAGUUAAAAAUCCCCGCGAAAUUCAUGAUCUAAUAAUACCAUUUACUAGCCGGGGCUUAUAAUAACUAUUGCAACGAUUAUAAAAUCGCUGCUAUAUUGCAAUAUACUUUUGCCUGCGCCAAAACUACGUCACUUUACCUCUAUCUUUGGGCGCGAAGUAUUAUUUUUCAUCCUCGUCCCGCGUCCCCCCCCCUGCAACCACCAAAACCCACCCCCCGAUUCCCUACGGCCUGCUCCUUCGUUCUCCACAGCCGAGUAAAACAUACUGUCCUUCUCCAAAAGACCACCGACGCCAUAUGCUUACCUAUUUCAGCCGAAGGAAAUCUCCAGCGAUUUAGCCACACCACCACCACGCCAUUUUCUUCCCACGGAGGUUGAACCAGAGUCCAUACGGCUGAAAGCUUCAGGGCAUUCAGUUGUUUCCCCUUCUCUAUCUCCACCGAAGAUUGAAUGGGAAAGUUGGUGCUGCACGGCUUGUGAAGUGCUUGGAGUUCUGAGUUUCCGACCACUGCAGAUUGCCAUUGUGCAGCAAUAGCAAUUAAAACAUCACGCACAUCCUGCCGCGACUGUUGUUGCUAAAUAGGUAACUAUGAUUUUGUAUUUUUGGCCUACUUUCUGGCUUGAUUUGCUGUGAGUGGCAGAAAAGUACAAGAACUUAGAUCCAUGAAAUCCUAGAUGCAUAAACCAGUGGACUUGGUAUGGACUUUUUGGUUUUAAAGACUACCAUGUAUAAAGCGAAUAAUCCAAAAUUUCAAUACUAUUUUUGUCA